AAUCUGACUUAUUUCUACUUGAUAGUGUAAGCUAUUGGUCUUAAACUAAGGAAAAGUUUGAUUCACAUGGGACCAAAGCUGGGAGCAGCAGCAGGCCGGGCGGCCGUUGGGGCCGUUGGAGGCUGCCUGUGCCACGCUGGGGUGCUUUGAACAGGGAAGGAGGGAGUGAGACAUCCCAGUGGCGUUCUUGAGAUGACUAUGGACGAGAAAUAUGUAAACAGCAUUUGGGAUCUCCUAAAAAAUGCAAUCCAAGAGAUCCAGCGUAAGAACAAUAGUGGUCUCAGUUUUGAGGAGCUAUAUAGGAAUGCAUAUACAAUGGUGUUGCAUAAACAUGGAGAAAAACUCUACACUGGACUGAGAGAAGUGGUCACUGAGCAUCUCAUAAACAAGG